rnacentral:rRNA from 1 species
UACGUAGGGCGCAAGCGUUGUCCGGAAUUAUUGGGCGUAAAGAGCUCGUAGGCGGCUUGUCACGUCGGGUGUGAAAGCCCGGGGCUUAACCCCGGGUCUGCAUUCGAUACGGGCUAGCUAGAGUGUGGUAGGGGAGAACGGAAUUCCUGGUGUAGCGGUGAAAUGCGCAGAUAUCAGGAGGAACACCGGUGGCGAAGGCGGAUCUCUGGGCCAUUACUGACGCUGAGGAGCGAAAGCGUGGGGAGCGAACAGG